GACGAACGCUGGCGGCGUGCCUAAUACAUGCAAGUCGAGCGCAGGAAACUGACGGAACUCUUCGGAGGGAAGGCAGUGGAAUGAGCGGCGGACGGGUGAGUAACACGUAAGGAACCUGCCUCAAGGAUUGGGAUAACUCCGAGAAAUCGGAGCUAAUACCGGAUAGUUCAACGGACCGCAUGGUCCGCUGAUGAAAGGCGCUCCGGCGUCACCUUGAGAUGGCCUUGCGGUGCAUUAGCUAGUUGGUGGGGUAACGGCCCACCAAGGCGAAGAUGCAUAGCCGACCGGAGAGGGUGAUCGGCCACACUGGGACUGAGACACGGCCCAGACUCCUACGGGAGGCAGCAGUAGGGAAUCUUCCACAAUGGACGAAAGUCUGAUGGAGCAACGCCGCGUGAGUGAUGAAGGUUUUCGGAUCGUAAAACUCUGUUGUAAGGGAAGAACACGUACGAGAGGAAAUGCUCGUACCUUGACGGUACCUUACGAGAAAGCCACGGCUAACUACGUGCCAGCCGCCGCCGUAACAC
rnacentral:rRNA from 1 species